AUUGAACGCUGGCGGAAUGCUUUACACAUGCAAGUCGAACGGCAGCACGGACUUCGGUCUGGUGGCGAGUGGCGAACGGGUGAGUAAUGUAUCGGAACGUGCCCAGUCGUGGGGGAUAACGUAGUGAAAAUUACGCUAAUAGCGCAUACGAUCUAUGGAUGAAAGCGGGGGAUCGCAAGACCUCGCGCGAUUGGAGCGGCCGAUAUCAGAUUAGGUAGUUGGUGGGGUAAAGGCCCACCAAGCCAACGAUCCGUAGCUGGUCUGAGAGGACGACCAGACACACUGGAACUGAGACACGGUCCAGACUCCUACGGGAGGCAGCAGUGGGGAAUUUUGGACAAUGGGCGAAGCCUGAUCCAGCCAUUCCGCGUGCAGGAUGAAGGCCCUCGGGUUGUAAACUGCUUUUGUACAGAACGAAAAGGUUUCUACUAAUACUAGGAGCUCAUGACGGUACUGUAAGAAUAAGCACCGGCUAACUACGUGCCAGCCGCCGCAGUAA
rnacentral:rRNA from 1 species